GGAACAAAAUACUGAUUCAUGCUACAACAUGGAUGAACCUUGAAUACAUCAUGCUAAGUGAAAGGAAACUGACAAAAAGGCCACAUAUUGUGUGACUCCAUUCAGAUGAAUUGUCCAGAAGAAGCAAAACCAUAUAAACAGAAAGUUAGCUAGUGAUUUCCAGGACUGGGGAGAGGGAAGAAUGGAAGGGGUUAUCAUGGAGAUCAGAGCUGAGACUCUAGAGAGGCCUUGCCUGGACUGGAAUCCAGAAUCUUCUAUUCAUCAGCAGUGGAACAUCUGACAAAUUACUUACUCUGGUCUUCAAUUUCCUCAUAUGUAAAAUAGAGCUGUCAACUUGAGUUCACUGAAUGCUGACUGCAGAGUUGGGAAGAGUUAUCAGAAUCAGCUCUCAAGUCAUGUGAGCCUGCUCCAGCACACUCAAGCGAGAAUUUAUCUUUUUUGCUGCCUCUUUGUUCACUGCUGAAACUAGGAUCUGUUCCCUCUCAGGCAGAGGACCAGGCAUACAUAUCUGAUGCGCUCCUGCCGAGGUUUGGGUAUCACUGUGCUGGCAAGUAACAAAGAGAAAUAAACACAGUAGCAUAAAUCCCCGUAGUUUGGCUCAGAAGAAACGGCCUACUCAUAACCAUGCUGGGGUCCCCAGCCUACCCCUGUGAUUUGAUGCCAUCUUGGCACAUGCUGGCUUAAUCUCCAGCCCAAUCUGGGCACAAUAGGGAAAGGUCCGUUGCCAAAUUAUAAGGUGGCAGGAGAGAAGGGAAAGAGGGCUUCUUCUGUUCUUAACAUGUUUCAAACUGACUUCUAGUUCCUAACCAGCAUGCCAAUACAGACAAGACCCGUCUUUGCCCACUUCCUCCCCUUCUUCUCUGUCCCUCCGGCAGGCACCUCCUUCCUACAGGCUUCUCAGUCUUCGGGAGGGUGACCCUAACAUCUUGGUUUGCCUGGGGGAGAGUCUUGACUUAAGCCCAGAGUUCUCUCUGGUUUGGUGUCCCCUUUCAUUCUCAAAAGAGUCCCAGUGUGGAGGUUAAAUUAUAUCGUCAUGCUGUCUAUGAACAGAGUGAGAACAAAAACACAAGUGCACAAAAGCAAGAAGUAGUCUGCCAGCAAUUUACACAAUGACUUCCAGUUAUCAAGCAAAUCACUCCAUGACACUGCAUACAUCAUUUCAAUGAAUUCUCACAGCACCCCAUGAGGGAGCUCUGGGCACAUGGAUUCUUGCAAGUAAGGAAAGUAACCAGGUUAAAUGACUUGACCAAGGUCAUCCAACUAUGAGGAACAGAACUGGAUUCAAACAUCCAUCUGAGUGACUGCAACUUCUGCUCCAAAGGGGGCAUGCCUGACUCCUCAGGCCAUGUGGCCACCCCACCCACCAAUUUCUGACUGCGUUAAGAAACAGAACUUUACCAAGAACAUUGGGCAGUUUCAACACUAAAGGAACUCUCUCAAUUUUCAUAUUUUUCAUCUUACAUUUGAAAGUAGAGUCUAUUUCUGCAGCUGUGUAUAUAAUUCAGCUCUUGUUUCUGUAACCUAAUUUGAAAGAACACUUCCAAAAGAAGCAACGAAGUCUACAAAAGCACAGUUUGACUCAAGUAGAUCCAACCAAUUUGCAAGUGGAAAAUAACACUGAGGAAUAAGUUUUGCAUCACAAGUGUGGCUGCUUCAAGUCAUCCUUCAUGAAACUAAAGAUAGAAAGUUCUGCCGGUAACAAAACCUGCCCUACAAGCCAGGAGGAAAAAGGACUUAAAGGAAGAGGAAGAACACAUUUUUCAAAAUUCUUGUCAAAAUAUAUGAGGGGGGAAAAUAUAAGAAGCAGAGAAAUAUGCCACUCGACUCAGGAGUCACUCUGGACAAGUGUCUUGGAAUCUAGUCCUGAAGGACAGCCAUCAUGGCAACAAAAGGUGGAUGUAAUUACAAAUAAGGGCCUUGGAAGAAUCUCUAAAACGGUUCCUGCAAAGAGUGCAGUUCGGAAAAAUCUAUGCAAAAGAAGAAGGACAAAAGUGGAAGCUCAUGAGAGCAGAGAAAAAGCAAAAGGAGGUGGCAGUGGGAAUGAGGAUGAGGAUGGAGAGGAGAAGGUGUUAGGCUAAUGUCGUGUGCCAGGUGAUAAAUGAAAAUGUUGAAUUUCCACAGGAUAAAAGUCUUGUUCCUUACAGAAUGGCACAAUCACAAAAUGGAAAGAGCCACAUAAUGUUGGAGAAGAAUUUAUAUGAAAAUAAAUUAUUGGUACAAUAAUGAAAGGAAAUUCACAUGAAAUAAUUUCUCCUAUUCCAUUAAGCAAUGAUACAGCUUUGAAAUAAAUCAUUAAGAUGUCAAAAAUCACCUGUAUGAUGAAUUAUAGUUAAUAUGUCCGUCUAGGAGACAGAAGCCUUUUUCCUGCAAAUAUAAAAACAGAGGACACAGAAAGACUUUUGUGCCCAGGAGGGCCCCACAGGGUCCUGGUCGGUUUCAAAGAUGUUCAUAAAAUUUUAUAUCUGACAGAAGACUUUUAUCCAGAAUACAUUAAAAAAAACUCCUACAAAUCAAUAUGAAUAAACAACAGUUCAGUUUUUCUAAAAAGGCAAAGACUUGAACAGGCACUUCAUGAUAAAGAUAGCCUGCUUUAUCAUCCACAGAAGGGAAGGAGAUGAAGGUACACUUCUUCCAGGUUGAAAGUUUUUGAGACACCCGAUGAAGGACACUGCUGGAAAAUGUUCUACGCUGCUGCUGACAGCAAAGCUGCAACAUGACUAAUGUCAAUCUGUUGAUCUUCCCUGACCAGAGAUCAAACCCUACAUUGGGAGCGAGGAGUCUUAACCACUGGACUGCCAGGGAAGUCCCUGCCUGGUAAAUUGAAAUAUCAAAUAUCAACUUCUGAAGUAAGGGAGAGAAGGAGACAAAAAGAAAAUUGGGUAUUUAUUCUUAAAUAUAGCACCCUAGGGAGGCAGUUUGCAUAGUGGCUAAUAACACAGACUCUAGAGCCAGACUUGCCUGGGUUUGAGUCCAACUUCCCUUAUUGCCUAUGUGACUUUGGGUACAUUUCUUAUCUUUUCUUUGCCUCAGCUUCUGCAUCUGUAAAGUGGAAGACAGCUUGACCUCAUGGGGUUGCUACAAGGAUUAAAUUCGUUUAUAAAAAGUACUUAGAACAGUGACUGGCAACAGUAAGCACCACAUAAAUGUCAGUUACUAUUACUCAAAAUUAUAAUAAUGAAUAGAUCAAGGCUCUAGUAACAUUGUUAGUUUUUAGGGGUCUGAGUCUUUGUAAUGUCUCUGAUUUUUAAAAGAUCACAAAUGUGGCUUGGAUUACUCCAAGAAAAAAAGUUUGGCUUAAUACACUGAUAAAUGAGUUUUUAAGAAAGAAACCAUUUUGUAUGACCCAGUACAGGGAGUAGAGUUGACUAACAGGAGAUGUCUGCCUGGCAUAAAAAUCAUUAAAGAAAAUCCUGAGCACGAUGUUAAAGUCAACUCGGAAGCACAUGCUUUACAUUAUUGUCCUAUCAGUUCUUGAGUUCCUGGCAAGUGUCGCUGAAGCAGAUAGACUUUUUUUUCAAGUAGUCAUUCUCUGUUAUUGCUUUUGACAUAGAUAAACGACCUUCUAACUAACUAUUAGGAAACUUUUUGUAGGGUGUAUUUGUGAUGGUUAUUUAAAGUGAUAGCUGUGAAAGACUGUCAAAAUAGCUCUAACAUCGUGCUGUUCAAAAAGAAAGGCUAAUUUCUUUGAAAAUAAUAAUGAAAGGAUAAUAGAAUCUCAGAUAUAAGAAGGAAUAAGGUCUGCGAGCUCAUGGAUGGCAUUCAUCUGCCAAGACAGGGAAGUCUGUCUCAGGAGUUAUAACCAGUUUUGCUUGCUUCAUACUGCUGAGUACACUUGAGUUGCUAUAAUGGGGGCAAAGUUCACUGGGCAGUGCCCCAGCAAAUUACUUUUCUAGACAGGAAAGACUAGGGCAAUUUUGUCUCUACAGUAAUGGCCAAUUCACAGCCAUCUAAGAC